rnacentral:rRNA from 1 species
AAUGAACGCUGGCGGCAUGCCUAACACAUGCAAGUCGAACGAGACCUUCGGGUCUAGUGGCGCAUGGGUGCGUAACGCGUGGGAACCUGCCCUUAGGUUCGGAAUACCUCUCCGACAGGGGUGCUAAUACCGGAUAAUGUCUUCGGACCACAGAUUUAUCGCCUUUGGAUGGGCCCGCGUUGGAUUAGCUAGUUGGUAGGGUAAAAGCCUACCACGGCGACGAUCCAUAGCUGGUCUGAGAGGAUGAUCAGCCACACUGGGACUGAGACACGGCCCAGAAUCCUACGGGAGGCAGCAGUGGGGAAUAUUGGACAAUGGGCGAAAGCCUGAACCAGCAAGGCCGCGUGAGUGAUGAAGGCCGUAGGGAUGUAAAGCUCGUUUACCCGGGAUGAUAAUGACAGUACCGAAAGAAUAAGCACCGGCUAACUCCGUG